UGGGGAAUUUUGGACAAUGGGGGCAACCCUGAUCCAGCCAUGCCGCGUGUGUGAAGAAGGUCUUCGGAUUGUAAAGCUCUUUAAGUUGGGAGGAAGGGCAGUAAAUUAAUACUUUGCUGUUUUGACGUUACCGACAGAAUAAGCACCGGCUAACUCUGUGCCAGCAGCCGCGGUAAUACAGAGGGUGCAAGCGUUAAUCGGAAUUACUGGGCGUAAAGCGCGCGUAGGUGGUUCGUUAAGUUGGAUGUGAAAUCCCCGGGCUCAACCUGGGAACUGCAUUCAAAACUGACGAGCUAGAGUAUGGUAGAGGGUGGUGGAAUUUCCUGUGUAGCGGUGAAAUGCGUAGAUAUAGGAAGGAACACCAGUGGCGAAGGCGACCACCUGGACUGAUACUGACACUGAGGUGCGAAAGCGUGGGGAGCAAACAGGAUUAGAUACCCCAGUAGUCCCUGAGCGGGCUGGCAAGGCGCAU
rnacentral:rRNA from 1 species